UAUCUAUGGCCUGGCACAUUAUAAGUAGGCAAAAAUACUUUAUGCUACUUUAUGCAGUAUUUAGCAAAUUCAGUAUCCACCAGUACCUAACAUAGUUCUUGGUCCAUAGUACAUAUUUAGAAAAUGCUGUUUCGUGACACUAGCCCCAAUUGCUGUGCAUGACACCUCUGAAGCGUCAGGAAAUGCCACCUCUCCCAACUUAACCUUCAAACCAGCACCCCGUGAAACUGCAGCUAGAAAACAACCCUGUAGUCCCAGUUCUGCCCCCUCCAUGCUGAGUGACCUUGGGUUGCUCCCUUUCCCUCUUUGAGCCGCAGAGUUCUCCAUCUGGAAUACAGGUAGCACUUGUUGCCCAGGCAGUACCGCCACAGGCCCUGGUGGGCGAAGGACCCUGACAGCCGGUACUGCAUCCAGUGGUCUGUUGCCAUGGCCACCACCAGGAGGAUGGUCCCCACCCAGGCACAGAACAGGCCACCACCCAUGAAGCUGUACAUGGUGAUCUGUGGGGAAGGGGAGAGAUGGGAUUGGGAGCUGAAUUCCCGGGACUUGAAGGGAGGAACUGGGGGGAGAGAGGGCUCAGGAGUGGGAUGCCAAGUGCUUGGGAGAAGGAGAUGGAGACCUAGACGCCUGGGUCCUGGGCGAGGAGGGGACUGGAGCCCGGACUCCUGGGUCUGAGGGAGGAGGAUGGUAGGGAUCCUGGAAAGACAACAGGGAGAGCGGGGCUGGGUUCUGGGAAGAAAAGGCCGGGGGCCUGGACUUCCAGGUUCUGAGCAAGGAAUAGGCUGGAGGCCUAGCUUCCUGAGUCCUAGGUGAGAAGGGGCCCAGGAGCCUGGAUUCCUGGGUGGUGGGUAAGGAAGGGGCUAGGGGCUAGGGGGUAGGACACCAGGUCCUGGGAGAAGAAGGAGCUGGGACCCUAGACUCCUGGGACUUGGGGAAGAGGGGGCUACAGGUCUCACGCCUGGUGCCUACCUGAGUGGCAGAGCCUGCCCGAGCCCUCCUUCUGCCACGGCCCCUCUGUGCAGACUGAGCUGAGCCUGGUCACUGGCCUCUUUGCCCCCUUAGGUUCCCCAAAUCCCUUAAGCCUCCCUACACAAUGGUCCCACUACCCAGCAGCUUCCAGCAGGCAGAAAUGCAGCGGUGGCAGAGGCCUCAAAUGGAAUUCGCUGAAGCAGGCAUCCAGGGGGCUCCCCCCACCCACUCACUGACCUCUGUGACCCUCCCCGGAACCCAAUACCUUGUCGCCAGCCUUGCUCAAAGCAACCCUGGCUUUGUCCGAGCUGUGUAAGCACGCACACACGCACACACACACACACACACGGGCGCGCGCACACACGCAAGAUUCAG
rnacentral:lncRNA from 10 species